GCGAUGGCGUGCCUUUUGAAGAAUGAGCCAACGAGUUACGGUGUGUGGCAAGGUUAACCCGAUGAGGGGAAGCCGGAGCGAAAGCGAGUCUGAACAGGGCGUUCAGUCGCAUACCGUAGACCCGAAGCCGAGUGAGCUAUCCAUGGGCAGCGUGAAGCGGAGGUAAGACUCUGUGGAGGCGCGAACCGACUUCAGUUGAAAAUGGAGCGGAUGACCUGUGGAUAGGGGUGAAAGGCCAAUCAAACUCGGUGAUAGCUGGUUCUCCGCGAAAUGCAUUUAGGUGCAGCGUCGUGCGUUCAACGAUGGGGGUAGAGCACUGAAUGGGCUAGGGGUCCUACAAGACUACCGACCCCAAUCAAACUCCGAAUACCAUCGUUCCAGAGCACGGCAGUGAGACCUCGGGGGAUGAGCUUCGAGGUCGAGAGGGAAACAGCCCAGACCGCCGGCUAAGGUCCCAAAAUCUGAACUAAGUGGUAAACGAUGUGAGAUUGCGAAGACAGCCAGGAGGUUGGCUGGAAGCAGCCAUCCUUGAAAGAGUGCGUAACAGCUCACUGGUCGAGUGAUCUUGCGCGGACAAUGUAACGGGGCCCAAGUUCAGUACCGAAGCCGCGGAUGCGACUCUUUGAGUCGUGUGGUAGCGGAGCGUCGAGCGUGCAGCGAAGCGGCGGGACAACCCAGCCGUGGAGCGCGUUCGAGUGCGGAUGUUGGCAUGAGUAGCGAAUGAGGGGUGAGAACCCCCUCCGCCGUAUGUCCAAGGGUUCCUGGGCGAGGCCAAUCCUCCCAGGGUGAGUCGGGAGCUAAGGCGAGGCCGAGAGGCGUAGUCGGUGCACAACUGGUUGAUAUUCCAGUACCACCAUGUUCGCGUCCGUCCCAAUACUCUGUUGCUAAGGGGCUGUGUUGACUUCGGUCAACGCGAACCGACCCACAUUGUUGCGGGAAGCUGUAGGGGGACGCAGGAAGGUAGAUGAACCCGGUGAAUGGUAGAACCGGGGUAAGCGUGUAGGAGGAGGACCAGGUAAAUCCGGGCCUCAUAAACUCUGAGACGUGAUACCGAGCCGCUUCAGGCGAAGUCAUUGAUCCUAUGCUGCCUAGAAAAGCCCAGCAGCGAGUUGACAUGGUGCCCGUACCCCAAACCAACACAGGUGGACAGGUAGAGCAUACCAAGGCGAGUGGGAUAACUAUGGUUAAGGAACUCGGCAAAUUGCCUCCGUAACUUCGGGAGAAGGAGGACCCCAGUAGCGUGAUGAGACUUGCUCUCUGAGCGUGAAGGGGUGGCACAAAAUUGAGGGAAGCGACUGUUUACCAAAAACACAGCAGCGUGCUAAGCCGUAAGGCGCUGUAUACGCUGUGACUCCUGCCCGGUGCUGGAAGGUUACGGGGAUGGGUUAGUCCUUCGGGACGAAGCUCUGAACCUAAGCCCCAGUAAACGGCGGCCGUAACUAUAACGGUCCUAAGGUAGCGAAAUUCCUUGUCGGGUAAGUUCCGACCUGCACGAAUGGAGUAACGACUUCCCUACUGUCUCAACCAUAGACCCAGCGAAAUUGAAGUACGAGUAAAGAUGCUCGUUAGCUGCAGAAGGACGGAAAGACCCCGUGGACCUUUACUAUAACUUGAUGUUGUGUUUU
rnacentral:rRNA from 1 species